CUCUGAUGCACUGUAAUCUAAGCCAAGAUGUUUUACAGUCAGGAGGGAGAUGAUGGCUCAAUGACUCAUACGCAGCUCAGCUUUCUCAGUGGCACGGUGAGGUGGCCUGCACUGCAUCAUGUGCUUCUACAGUGCUGAUCGUUUUUGUGACACACUAAAAGAAGAGAGAAGAGAAAGCAUCCUACGAUUUUGCCGGGAAUACAGGGAACUAAGAGAAACCUCAUCAGUGCCUUUUGUCAAUGCAUCUUUUCACCACCAAUCACAGCCUGGAUGGGGCGGAACACAAAAAGGGAGCCAGAUCCUUGAACAGACAGAAUCUCAAGACAGAAAGCUGGCCAGACUGCCCACUCCUCAUCCUACCAUAAUGACGUCCUACCAACUGAUAGUAAAGGCAGAGAAAUAAACACUUCAAAAUGGU